CGCUGGCGGCGUGCUUAACACAUGCAAGUCGAACGAUGAAGCCCUUCGGGGUGGAUUAGUGGCGAACGGGUGAGUAACACGUGGGCAAUCUGCCCUUCACUCUGGGACAAGCCCUGGAAACGGGGUCUAAUACCGGAUACCACUCCUGCCUGCAUGGGCGGGGGUUGAAAGCUCCGGCGGUGAAGGAUGAGCCCGCGGCCUAUCAGCUUGUUGGUGGGGUAAUGGCCCACCAAGGCGACGACGGGUAGCCGGCCUGAGAGGGCGACCGGCCACACUGGGACUGAGACACGGCCCAGACUCCUACGGGAGGCAGCAGUGGGGAAUAUUGCACAAUGGGCGAAAGCCUGAUGCAGCGACGCCGCGUGAGGGAUGACGGCCCUCGGGUUGUAAACCUCUUUCAGCAGGGAAGAAGCGAAAGUGACGGUACCUGCAGAAGAAGCGCCGGCU
rnacentral:rRNA from 1 species